GUACACACACAGACACAGGUAGACACACACAGACACAGGUAGACACACAGACACAGGUAGACACACACAGACACACACAGACACAGGUAGACACACACAGACACAGGUAGACACACAGACACAGGUAGACACAGGUAGACACACACAGACACAGGUAGACACACAGACACACACAGACACACGCAGAGACAGGUAGACACACGCAGAGACAGGUAGACACACGCAGAGACAGGUAGACACACGCAGAGACAGGUAGACACACGCAGAGACAGGUAGACACAUACAGACAGGUAGACACACACACACAGACAGGUAGACACACACACAGACAGGUAGACACACACAGACAGGUAGACACACACAGACAGGUAGACACACACAGACAGGUAGACACACACAGACACAGGUAGACACAGACAGACACACACAGAGACCGGUAGACACACACAGAAACAGGUAGACACAGACAGACAGGUGGACACACACACACACACACACACACACAGACAGGUAGACACACACACAGAGACAGACAGACACACACAGACAGACACACACAGACAGACACACACACACAGAGACAGGUAAACACACACAGACAGACACACAGAGACAGACAGACACA
ensembl:lncRNA